AACGCUGGCGGCGUGCCUAAUACAUGCAAGUCGAGCGAAUCGAUGGGAGCUUGCUCCCUGAGAUUAGCGGCGGACGGGUGAGUAACACGUGGGCAACCUGCCUAUAAGACUGGGAUAACUUCGGGAAACCGGAGCUAAUACCGGAUACGUUCUUUUCUCGCAUGAGAGAAGAUGGAAAGACGGUUUACGCUGUCACUUAUAGAUGGGCCCGCGGCGCAUUAGCUAGUUGGUGAGGUAAUGGCUCACCAAGGCGACGAUGCGUAGCCGACCUGAGAGGGUGAUCGGCCACACUGGGACUGAGACACGGCCCAGACUCCUACGGGAGGCAGCAGUAGGGAAUCUUCCGCAAUGGACGAAAGUCUGACGGAGCAACGCCGCGUGAACGAAGAAGGCCUUCGGGUCGUAAAGUUCUGUUGUUAGGGAAGAACAAGUACCAGAGUAACUGCUGGUACCUUGACGGUACCUAACCAGAAAGCCACGGCUAACUACGUGCCAGCAGCCGCGGUAAUACGUAGGUGGCAAGCGUUGUCCGGAAUUAUUGGGCGUAAAGCGCGCGCAGGUGGUUCUUUAAGUCUGAUGUGAAAGCCCACGGCUCAACCGUGGAGGGUCAUUGGAAACUGGGGAACUUGAGUGCAGAAGAGGAAAGUGGAAUUCCAAGUGUAGCGGUGAAAUGCGUAG
rnacentral:rRNA from 1 species